AGGUUAGCUAAACUGUUCAGCUCCGAGCCGACCAGCACCCAGAAAAUGAAAAUGAAGCAUCAGCUGUCCCUGAAAGAGUCAAGGUUAACUCAGAUCCUGAGCCAGGAUUUAUCUGAGGAUGAGGUAGGUCGCUUAUUCUUGUUUAUCUUUCAUCCC